AGGAGAGGGAAGCACGUCUUUUUGAAGAUCCCUAUGUAGUUAAGGACUUCUGAAGGUCGCCAACACUGGAAGGCUUUCAUCCACUAUGAACAUUCCGUUAAUGACGCUAUAGAGAAGAUAUUCUCAACCAGAAGAAACUGAAGUUGCAAGAUAUUCACAAAUUAGCUGAACUGCCUUAUAGAUUCGAAAUAUAAUCCUUUACAUUAAAAAUACUAUAAUUACAAAUGAAAUUAAUUCUGAUUAAAGUUGUGGAAUGCAAUGUCAAUAUUAUAAGCAUGCUUAUUCGUGUUUGCCUAAUAUUUUAACUAGCUGUUUUUGUUGCUGCAAGCCAUCUACUAUGCUUUAAUAAAAAUGAAUAUAAAUAUCAGUCCAGUCCUGUGAACAUCUUCAGUACAGAAGUAUAGUUUAUGAUCAAUCUGUGAGACUCUUGUCUAAAUAUCAGCC
rnacentral:lncRNA from 1 species